rnacentral:rRNA from 1 species
GAGUUUGAUCCUGGCUCAGAACGAACGCUGGCGGCGUGCCUAACACAUGCAAGUCGAACGUGAUCCAGAGCUUGCUCUGGUGAAAGUGGCGCACGGGUGAGUAACGCGUGGAUAACCUACCCUGGUAUCCGGGAUAACAUUCCGAAAGGGGUGCUAAUACCGGAUAAGCCCACGGGCUCUUUGGAGCUUGCGGGAAAAGGUGGCCUCUAUUUAUAAGCUACUGUAUCAGGAUGGGUCCGCGUACCAUUAGCUAGUUGGCGGUGUAACGGACCACCAAGGCGACGAUGGUUAGCUGGUCUGAGAGGAUGAUCAGCCACACUGGAACUGAGACACGGUCCAGACUCCUACGGGAGGCAGCAGUGGGGAAUUUUGCGCAAUGGGGGAAACCCUGACGCAGCAACGCCGCGUGAGUGAUGAAGGCCUUUGGGUCGUAAGGCUCUGUCAGAGGGGAAGAAAUGAUAUAGUGCUAAUACCACUUUAUCUUGACGGUACCCUCAAAGGAAGCACCGGCUAACUCCGUGCCAGCAGCCGCGGUAAUAC